AGUGGGUAAUCUCUUACACUCGCUCCUUGGUCAAGAUAUUCAUUACAAUAUUGUGUAUACCGGUUAUAACUUACCAAUGGCAUGUGCCCCCAUUCUCACUUGUUACGUGCACUUCCAUUGUCUAGCAAAAUCUAUCCUUAAGUGUGUUCAAGUUAAGGGACACCCUAUACCAUUAAAUCAUCUCGACAUAACCAUGCAAUAGUACACCUCAGAGCAUGCAUUUAACCCU
rnacentral:lncRNA from 1 species